GAUGAACGCUAGCGGGAGGCCUAACACAUGCAAGCCGAGCGGUAUUUGUUCUUCGGAACAGAGAGAGCGGCGCACGGGUGCGGAACACGUGUGCAACCUGCCUUUAUCUGGGGAUAGCCUUUCGAAAGGAAGAUUAAUACCCCAUAAUAUAUUGAGUGGCAUCAUUUGAUAUUGAAAACUCCGGCGGAUAGAGAUGGGCACGCGCAAGAUUAGAUAGUUGGUGAGGUAACGGCUCACCAAGUCAAUGAUCUUUAGGGGGCCUGAGAGGGUGAUCCCCCACACUGGUACUGAGACACGGACCAGACUCCUACGGGAGGCAGCAGUGAGGAAUAUUGGACAAUGGGUUAGCGCCUGAUCCAGCCAUCCCGCGUGAAGGACGACGGCCCUAUGGGUUGUAAACUUCUUUUGUAUAGGGAUAAACCUACUCUCGUGAGAGUAGCUGAAGGUACUAUACGAAUAAGCACCGGCUAACUCCGUG
rnacentral:rRNA from 1 species